UGGGGAAUAUUGCGCAAUGGCCGAAAGGCUGACGCAGCGACGCCGCGUGCGGGAUGAAGGCCUUCGGGUUGUAAACCGCUGUCGGGGGGGACGGAAGCUCUGACGGUACCCCCAAACGGAAGCACCGGCUAACUCCGUGCCAGCAGCCGCGGUAAUACGGAGGGUGCGAGCGUUGUCCGGAAUCACUGGGCGUAAAGGGCGCGUAGGCGGCGCGGUAAGUAGGGGGUGAAAUCCUGCGGCUCAACCGCAGAAUGGCCUCCUAAACUGCCGUGCUCGAGCACAGUAGAGGCAGGUGGAAUUCCCGGUGUAGCGGUGGAAUGCGUAGAGAUCGGGAAGAACACCAGUGGCGAAGGCGGCCUGCUGGGGCUGUUGCUGACGCUGAGGCGCGACAGCGUGGGGAGCAAACAGGAUUAGAUACCCUGGUAGUCCACGCCGUAAACGAUGGGUACUAGGGCGUCGGGGGGGAGCGGACCCUCCCGGUCGCCGUCGCUAACGCACUAAGUACCCCGCCUGGGGA
rnacentral:rRNA from 1 species